UUCCGGCAUCAAAAAUACAAGAAGCCAAAACGUGUCCAUAUAAUGAAACCGAGUGGACAGAAAGAUCGACAGAAUUCUUCUGUCAUGGGAAAGAAGUCUAUCACUGCUUUCUUGCUGAAGACAAAAAUACCGUGAAAGAAAAGUGUGUAGAAAGGUCAAUGAUGCAAAAAGGUUUUUGUCCAAUAUUCACAGACUUUGGUUAUUUACACUGGAGUCCAUGCAAUGGAACAGGAUGUCCUAACUCAUCCUACACUAGUGAUAAAGUUUACAAAUACCGAGUGUGUUUUGGUGACACGGACAAAGUCGUAACCUACAUUUCUGGUUCUAGGUAAGUCUG